CGCGCGACGGUCAGCCGCCCCCUGCCGGAGCCCCGCUCACGGCCGCUGGGGGCCGGGCUGCCGCAGCCGGCGGCGGCGGGAAAGGUGUCGGAUCCCCGGGGCGCCGACGCCGCAGCCGCAGCCGCAGCCGCAGCCGCAGCCGCCACCCUCGGGCGCGCUCUGGGUCCUCUCGGAAAAGAGAAUGACGUCCAAAUUGCUUGACACCAGCAUGGUUUCUAUGUGGGAGAAAUGUGUUAAAAUGACAGCAGCUCCCCAUGAAUCAGCCAGGAUGUUGGUGAAAUCACUGUGCAUGUGCUGUGACAGCGACCCUUCCCCAGACCCCAGAGAAAAAGCGUUUCUGCUGACACCUGUCUGACUCUGCACUGGCACAAACUGUCUAUGUGAGUUUAAACAAUGGCUUUCAGCUAUUCAGGCAGACGUGGGCAAGAGUCAAUGCCAACUUUCAACAACCAGAGGUAUCUAAGGGUGAGUCAACAUUAAUUACAUAUGUGGGGGAGGGAGUGGCCAGAAUUGAGGCACUUAUCAGGAAAGGCUAGAAAACUG